GUAGAAGUUGGAACUGAAGUCAAAACUUAAUUGGUUUUAAGAUCGACUUCCUAUAGCGUCUUGUCAUUUUUGUAUAGUAUCAAGAAUCUUCAUGUAGAUGAACAGUAAUAAUGUUAGGAAUCUUCUUGUGGCUUGCUUGUCAUCUUUAGAUCCUAGCAUAGAUCGAUUUUUGAAGAUAAACCAUUUUUAAGAAUUAAAAUGACUUCAAGAAUAGUAGUUGUGGUCGAUAUUGUCUUCAAAGAAUGGUGAUAGUCAUCUGGUUGUCAAAGUAGCUAAUAAAAGAGC
rnacentral:lncRNA from 1 species